rnacentral:lncRNA from 7 species
UAUUUGUAUCUUUUUUUCACAAAUGGAACUUUAUGUAAAGAUACAGGAAGAACUUUAAGCAGAAUCAUAAGUGCAGGUUUUGGCUGACCAUUAUUAGUUGAUUUUAUUUAGCGAUAUUUUUAAAAUUGUCCUAAUUUCACAGUUGUUAACAAUUAUUUUAUAGAUUAUUAUUAAGUCUUAACAAAGUAGAACAUGACAUGAUGUAUGUGAAGUUU